rnacentral:rRNA from 1 species
UACGUAGGGUCCAAGCGUUACUCGGAAUUACUGGGCGUAAAGGGUGCGUAGGCGGUUCGUUAAGUCUGUCGUGAAAUCCCCGGGCUCAACCUGGGAAUGGCGAUGGAUACUGGCGAGCUAGAGUGUGUCAGAGGAUGGUGGAAUUCCCGGUGUAGCGGUGAAAUGCGUAGAGAUCGGGAGGAACAUCAGUGGCGAAGGCGGCCAUCUGGGACAACACUGACGCUGAAGCACGAAGGCGUGGGGAGCAAACAGG